rnacentral:rRNA from 1 species
AGAGUUUGAUCCUGGCUCAGGAUGAACGCUGGCGGCGUGCUUAACACAUGCAAGUCGAACGGUGAAGCCAAGCUUGCUUGGUGGAUCAGUGGCGAACGGGUGAGUAACACGUGAGCAACCUGCCCUGGACUCUGGGAUAAGCGCUGGAAACGGCGUCUAAUACUGGAUAUGAGACGUGAUCGCAUGGUCGUGUUUGGAAAGAUUUUUCGGUCUGGGAUGGGCUCGCGGCCUAUCAGCUUGUUGGUGAGGUAAUGGCUCACCAAGGCGUCGACGGGUAGCCGGCCUGAGAGGGUGACCGGCCACACUGGGACUGAGACACGGCCCAGACUCCUACGGGAGGCAGCAGUGGGGAAUAUUGCACAAUGGGCGGAAGCCUGAUGCAGCAACGCCGCGUGAGGGAUGACGGCCUUCGGGUUGUAAACCUCUUUUAGCAGGGAAGAAGCGAAAGUGACGGACCUC